rnacentral:rRNA from 1 species
AGUGAACGCUGGCGGUAGGCCUAACACAUGCAAGUCGAACGAGUGGCGGACGGGUGAGGAAUACCUCGGAAUCUACUCUGUCGUGGGGGAUAACGUAGGGAAACUUACGCUAAUACCGCAUACGAUCGAAUGAGCCGAUGUCGGAUUAGCUAGUUGGGGGGGUAAAGGCCCACCAAGGCGACGAUCCGUAGCUGGUCUGAGAGGAUGAUCAGCCACACUGGAACUGAGACACGGUCCAGACUCCUACGGGAGGCAGCAGUGGGGAAUAUUGGACAAUGGGCGCAAGCCUGAUCCAGCCAUGCCGCGUGGGUGAAGAAGGUCUUCGGAUUGUAAAGCACUUUAAGUUGGGAGGCGUUACCCGCAGAAGAAGCACCGGCUAACUCCGUGCCAGCAGCCGCGGUAAUAC